UGGACCCGCAAUGUGUCGACUCGGGGGAUUCAACCGGGCCGUUUGCGCACGGGACGCGCUGGGGUUAUGCGGAGCUGUAAAGCCCGUGCCUUGGCGUGGGUCACCGGGCGGCCUGGUGCACUUUCCUCGGGUCGAUUGCCACGGCCGGCUCUCCGUGCGGCCAGAAGCCUGUCGCUGGUAAGGUGACCGCGGGGCCCCGCGCCUCGUGGUGUUAUAGACCAGCCUGUCCGUUGAGCUCGUCGGAGGGCCGAGGAAGGUUGCCGCGUCCCUUCACCCUCUGGCCAUCCUUGCUCGUCACGACUGGGGUGAACUGGUCCGUCAGUGCUCUCCCGACCGCGAGCGUAGGAAGGGCCGGUACGGUGUGGGACUUUGCUUCGGGCCAGUGGCGAAUCGGUCGGUCCCCCCACC
rnacentral:rRNA from 1 species